rnacentral:rRNA from 1 species
GCGCUCUCUUCGGAGGGAGCGGCGGACGGGUUAGUAACGCGUGGGAACAUACCCUUUGGUACGGAAUAGCCUCUGGAAACGGAGAGUAAUACCGUAUGAGCCCUUCGGGGGAAAGAUUUAUCGCCAAAGGAUUGGCCCGCGUUAGAUUAGGUAGUUGGUGGGGUAACGGCCUACCAAGCCUACGAUCUAUAGCUGGUUUUAGAGGAUGAUCAGCAACACUGGGACUGAGAUACGGCCCAGACUCCUACGGGAGGCAGCAGUGGGGAAUCUUGGACAAUGGGGGCAACCCUGAUCCAGCCAUGCCGCGUGAGUGAUGAAGGCCUUAGGGUCGUAAAGCUCUUUCGCCUGUGAAGAUAAUGACGGUAGCAGGUAAAGAAACCCCGGCUAACUCCGUGCCAGCAGCCGCGGUAAUACGGAGGGGGUUAGCCGUUGUUCGGAAUUACUGGGCGUAAAGCGCACGUAGGCGGACUGGAAAGUUGGGGGUGAAAUCCCAGGGCUCAACCCUGGAACUGCCUCCAAAACUAUCAGUCUAGAGUUCGAGAGAGGUGAGUGGAAUUCCGAGUGUAGAGGUGAAAUUCGUAGAUAUUCGGAGGAACACCA